GUGUGUGAAGAAGGCCUUUUGGUUGUAAAGCACUUUAAGCGAGGAGGAGGCUACCUAGAUUAAUACUUUAGGAUAGUGGACGUUACUCGCAGAAUAAGCACCGGCUAACUCUGUGCCAGCAGCCGCGGUAAUACAGAGGGUGCGAGCGUUAAUCGGAUUUACUGGGCGUAAAGCGUGCGUAGGCGGCCAAUUAGGUCAAAUGUGAAAUCCCCGAGCUUAACUUGGGAAUUGCAUUCGAUACUGGUUGGCUAGAGUAUGGGAGAGGAUGGUAGAAUUCCAGGUGUAGCGGUGAAAUGCGUAGAGAUCUGGAGGAAUACCGAUGGCGAAGGCAGCCAUCUGGCCUAAUACUGACGCUGAGGUACGAAAGCAUGGGGAGCAAACAGGAUUAGAUACCCUGGUAGUCCAUGCCGUAAACGAUGUCUACUAGCCGUUGGGGCCCUUGAGGCUUUAGUGGCGCAGCUAACGCGAUAAGUAGACCGCCUGGGGAGUACGGUCGCAAGACUAAAACUCAAAUGAAUUGACGGGGGCCCGCACAAGCGGUGGAGCAUGUGGUUUAAUUCGAUGCAACGCGAAGAACCUUACCUGGCCUUGACAUACAGAGAACUUUCCAGAGAUGGACUGGUGCCUUCGGGAACUCUGAUACAGGUGCUGCAUGGCUGUCGUCAGCUCGUGUCGUGUGAUGUUGGGUUAAGUCCCGCAACGAGCGCAACCCUUUUCCUUAUUUGCCAGCACUUCGGGUGGGAACUUUAAGGAUACUGCCAGUGACAAACUGGAGGAAGGCUGGGACGACGUCAAGUCAUCAUGGCCCUUACGGCCAGGGCUACACACGUGCUACAAUGGUCGGUACAAAGGGUUGCUACACAGCGAUGUGAUGCUAAUCUCAAAAAGCCGAUCGUAGUCCGGAUUGGAGUCUGCAACUCGACUCCAUGAAGUCGGAAUCGCUAGUAAUCGCGGAUCAGAAUGCCGCGGUGGAUACGUUCCCGGGCCUUGUACACACCGCCCGUCACACCAUGGGUGUUUGUUGCACCAGAAGUAGGUAGUCUAACCGCAAGGAGGACGCUUACCACGGUGUGGCCGAUGACUGGGGUGAAGUCGUAACAAGGUAGCCGUAGGGGAACCUGUGGAUGGAUCACCUCCUUAAGGGC
rnacentral:rRNA from 1 species